GACGUAGGGCGCGAGCGUUGUCCGGAUUUAUUGGGCGUAAAGAGCGUGUAGGCGGCCUGGAAGGUCAGCUGUGAAAACUCGAGGCUCAACCUCGAGACGUCGGUUGAAACCACCUGGCUAGAGUCCGGAAGAGGAGAGUGGAAUUCCCGGUGUAGCGGUGAAAUGCGCAGAUAUCGGGAAGAACACCCGUGGCGAAGGCGGCUCUCUGGCCCGAUACUGACGCUGAGGCACGAAAGCGUGGGGAGCAAACAGGG
rnacentral:rRNA from 1 species